rnacentral:rRNA from 1 species
CCCCACUGCUAUCGGGAUAGGACUAAGACAUGCUAGUCGAGCGCCUCCCAGCCACGACGGAGGCGCGGCGUACAGCUCAGUAACACGUGGCUAACCUGCCCUCGGGACGGGAAUACCCCCGGGAAACUGGGGCUAGUCCUCGAUAGGUGAAGAACUCUGGAAUGAGUCUCCGCCCAAAAGACGCUUAAAUCAUGCUUUUAGGCGCCGCCCAAGGAUGGGGCCGCGACCGAUCAGGUUGUUGGUGAGGCAACGGCUCACCAAGCCUUUAACCGGUGCGGGCCGUGAGAGCGGGAGCCCGGAGAUGGGCACUGAGACAAGGGCCCAGGCCCUACGGGGCGCAGCAGUCGCGAAAACUUUGCAAUACACGAAAGUGUGACAGGGCUAUCCCGAGUGCCAUCCGCUGAGGAAGGCUUUUACCCAGUAUAGAAAGCUGGGAGAAUAAGGAGAGGGCAAGACUGGUGUCAGCCGCCGCGGUAAUACCAGCUCUCCGAGUGGUGUGGAUGUUUAUUGGGCCUAAAGCAUCCGUAGCUGGCCAAGUUAGUCCCCUGUUAAAUCCACCGAAUUAAUCGUUGGAGUGCGGGGGAUACCGCUCGGCUAGGGGACGAGAGAGGCCGACGGUAUUUUCGGGGUAGGGGUGAAAUCCUAUAAUCCCGGGAGGACCACCAGUGGCGAAGGCUGUCGGCUAGAACGCGCCCGACGGUGAGGGAUGAAAGCUGGGGGAGCGAACCGGAUUAGAUACCCGGGUAGUCCCAGCUGUAAACGAUGCAGGCUAGGUGUUUGGGCGGCCACGGGCCGCUCUAGUGCCGCAGGGAAGCCGUUAAGCCUGCCGCCUGGGGAGUACGGUCGCAAGGCUGAAACUUAAAGGAAUUGGCGGGGGAGCAUCACAAGGGGUGAAGCUUGCGGUUUAAUUGGAUUCAACGCCGGA